CUCCUCCUCCCCUGCUCUCCACUGCACCGCCUCCUCCUCCCCUUCACUUUUCUCUCCUGGGGCGGCGACAACCUACAGGCAAAAGGCGACGGCGAUGUCGCUCAAUUUGAUCUGCAGGAGAGAGAGAAGGAAGGAGAGGAGGGAGAAAGGAAGAGGAAAGAGAAAAGGGAGGUGCGGCGACGGAUGGGUGAGGGUCACCGGAAGGAGCGCCGCCGGCUCGUCGCCUUUCACACCGAGGUGGAGCAAAUAUGCCUCUGUACAGCCCUCAUGCUCGCAGGGGCCUUGCGAGAAGUGGAAGGUAGAGGUCGUACGCCAGCCGGAGCAACAGGAGCAAGGAUCUGGCGUCAUCUGCCUCCCGGUUGCACAACACCACUGCAUCUCCUUCCUGUUGUUGUUGGUGGCAUCCGCCUCUCAGUUGCAUGCUGCCACUGCAUCUCCUUCCUGUUUUAUUUUUAGAUUUUACAUGUUCAGCUAUAGGUUGGCUUGAUCUCUUGUGUCGGGGAGGUGCGAGGUUAGGCAUUUAGGCAAUGGCAGCCACAGUUUCAGUGAAGGAUGUCCAUGCCAUGUGCAAUGAGGGAUAGGCCAUCAGCACAACGGUAUGCGUGUUUUAGUUUUCCUUAUUUUCCUAAUUUUAGUUCUCUACGGUCUUCUAUUUUUAUUUUUAUUGUUCUUAUUUUGUAUAGGUCCUUUGGGUCCUGAUGAAAGUCACUGUCGGUGGCAGGGAAUUCGUCACCGGAUGCGUCCUAUAUGUGGUGAUGAUCUCCUACUUUCUUUUCUUGACUUGUGUUUUGUUCUUCCUUUUUGUCCAACUUAGUAAUCGUGCUCUUGCUUUUCCUUUCGUCUCCGUUGUAGAUGGGUGUGUUCCCAUCUAGUCGUUGGUGAGAAACGAUUUCUUCUAGGCCAGUGGUGUUCCUUUGUGCUAUAGCCAGUGCGCUAUCUCCUAGAACCUAUCAUGGAGGAGGUUGACAUCACAGACAAGUUCAUGCUUGAGGUCAUUUUCAUUAAGCCGCAGCUCGCACAACCACUAUUUUUACUACUGCAAAGUUGGACAGAGUUUUGCAUAACAAUCAAGUUCCGUACCAGCACGCGGCAUCAGCGACAUGAUGCUGAAGCAAUGGCACUAUCCGGAAAUUCAUCUAAUUCCAUAGAAGUUGCAACGGAUGUUGCAGCGGCUCGAGUUAUCAGAUACAUGGAGGCUGUGUGUGCCAAGGUGCUCAAGGACUAUAGUUACAACAAAUUGAAACAAACAAAGGAAAGAGAAUUGCAUCUAAUUGGUUUGUUAAUAGACAAAGAAAAGUAGAUCAAAGAGCAGAAUUGGAAGAUCAGAGAGCUUAGCAAAGGCUUUGCAGACAAUAUGUAUCAAGUUAAAAACACUUUUGCUGGGAUUCAUCACAUAGCUAAAGACGGUGUAUACUCAACCAGUUCUACAAACGGCAAUGACCCCACAAGGCUGCUGUUGAUGUGCAGAAUGAACUUGCUCAUCUGCAGUAUGCAGUUGACUGACUGAUGACUCUAUGCAGCUGAUUCGAAACACAUUGGUUUAUCCCUUUUAAAUAGAGUCUACUUCCAUAGCCUAUGUACCUUUGGAAGAUGCUUACCGGCUAUAACAACUUUAUUUAAAUGACCA